rnacentral:sRNA from 1 species
CAGUAACAUGUGGAGGAACAUACAUUGGGAAUAUCAACUGAUACGCACUGUGCUAGGAUCUAGAAAUACCAUGUGGACUCCAACACACAUAGAAAUAAGGAAGUGGAAUUCCAAAGGAAGGCAAAGUGUAAAGUCAUCUUUAUGGAAAUGAGUGAUGAAGGUGAAUACCUGAAUGAGAUGUCAAGAGGAGGAACACACUGGAGAGAAGCAGUAAAGAUUUAGGACUGAACCUUAAAGACAUACAGGCUUGAGAGAAAGAAAGCAUGUAAAGAAGACAGAAAUGGUUAGAAAGAUUACUCUUGUCUCUGCUGCUCCUGGGAAAGUGAUUUGUGAAAUGAAAGUAGAAGAAGAGCAUACCAAUGCAAUAGGCACUCUCCACGGCGGUUUGACAGCCACGUUAGUAGAUAACAUAUCAACAAUGGCUCUGCUAUGCACGGAAAGGGGAGCACCCGGAGUCAGUGUCGAUAUGAACAUAACGUACAUGUUACCUGCAAAAUUAGGAGAAGAUAUAGUGAUUACAGCACAUGUUCUGAAGCAAGGAAAAACACUUGCAUUUACCUCUGUGGAUCUGACCAACAAGGCCACAGGAAAAUUAAUAGCACAAGGAAGACACACAAAACACCUGGGAAACUGAGAGAACAGCAGAAUGACCUAAAGAAACCCAACAAUGAAUAUCAAGUAUAGAUUUGACUCAAACAAUUGUAAUUUUUGAAAUAAACUAGCAAAACCAGAA